GCUAGGCACAGUGGCUCAUGCCUGUAAUCCCAGCACUUGGGAAGUUGAGGUGGGAGGAUCGCUUGAGCCCAGGAGUUCUAGAUCAGCCUGGACAAUAUAGCAAGACCUGGUCUCUACAAAAAAAAAAAAAAAGUUAGCUGGGUGUGCUGGCAUGUGCCUGUGGUCCCAGCUACUCAGGAGACUGAGGCAGGAGGAUCACUUGAGCCCAGGAGUUUGAGGCUGCAAUGAGCUAUGAUUGUGCCACUGCACUCCAGCCUGGGCAACAGAGUGAGACUCCGUCUCA
rnacentral:sRNA from 1 species